CUAACCGAAUCUACUGAAACGAAGUUCCUGGAGCAACAAAGGGGAAGGUCACAUCCUGGACUGAGGUCCAGACCCCAGUGGGACGGCCUAACAGACAUUUGACUCCCCUGGAUUACACUGAGAUUACACAUUUUCCGUCUUCUGACGGACUUUCCUAUAAGGUAAAGGAUCUCCAUUGGGACCACUUGAGUUGCAAAGGCCACAGAUACAGCCUAGGUCCUGGAUCUGUUACCAGUCCCUGCUGAUUCAGAGCAUCCAAAUGCAAAACUUAAGAAUGUCCAGUAAGUGAAGCAGGAACUCUUCUACCUUGGACAAUAGUUAUAAUCGCCUUCUGUUGAUUGGCACUAAGCCAAGAGAACUGCGUUUUUACGAUGAUUAUGAAAUGAACACAGAAAGCAUGUGAGAUGUUGGAAGCAACAGCUUGAAGCCAUCGCUUAUCUCCCUCCUCUCACUUAAUCCUUACAAGCAUCCUGCCAUGGAGAUUUUAAAUGAAGAUAUCCUCAUUUGAUAAGGAGGGACCUGACAUUCAAAGAGAUGCCACACCUGUGACCAGGUACCAGUGAGAAGGCACUAGUUCAAGACUGGGUCAUUCAAGCACCACGUUGAUCACUCCAAUCCCACAGAGUAUAUGAUGAGGGUGGGAGAGGAGCGCCCCACACUCACUGGGAAAAGCCUGAUAAAGAACUGUCCAUGCCUUUACCAAGGCUGAUGCCCGAUGCAGGCUUUGGGUCUAAAAAUUGUGCAAUUGAGUUGGCCACCUGAUGCAAAGAGCCAGCUCAUUGGGAAAGGCCCUGAUGCUGGGAAAGCUUGAGGGCAAGAGGAGAAGGGGAGUCAGAGGAUGAGAUGGUUGGAUGGCAUCACCGACUCAAUGGACAUGAGUCUGAGCAAACUCCAGAAGAUGGUAAAGGACAGGGAAUCUGAUGUGCUUCAGCUCAUGGGGUUGCAAAGAGUCAGACACAACCUAGUAGCUGAACAACAACAAAGUGUAAUUGAGGAAGAGUUGGCUCCUCAAAUCCUCAUGUUGAUGUCUGGAGCCCGUACUUGCCAGAAUGGAAUAAAACAAAAGGAGCAUCCAGUAUACAUGUCAGCAUGAUGCAUCCUAGGAAAAUCUUGUUAGGGAGUCAGAUAUUCCAGAGGUGCUGAUGAGCAAUGCAUUUAGUCAGUAAAGAGCCAGUUUCAUCUGAACUAUUGCUUCUCCCUAAAAAAAAAAAAACCUGGGGAAAUGUUCUGCUGCCCUGUUUGAUGCCUGUGAGCUAUUUUCACUCGUGCUGUGUGUAGAUGCCAUGUAUAACUUGUGCGCUGGGAGGAUCCUUGAAUGUUCCUUCAUCUUCUCCCUAAUUUAAGUCAGGGCCAUGCUUAUAGUGCAGACAGACUAUCAUUAUAGAUUUUUAAGACCUGCAGAGAAAGCCUCCAGCUUUGUGGGCCCAGAGCUUAAAAAUCUUCCCUGACAAGUGAUUUCUUUUUUAUGCUUCACCUCUUAAUUGAAUGAAUCAAGAUUUACUGAGUAGUCAUUACAUGCAGCAACAAAAAUAAUAGCAGCAAUAAUUAUGAUAGUACAAUGAUGUCCUGAUCCUCAGUGCUUUCUUCAUUUCAAGCAGAUGGCUAAGGGCUAGACAUGUAUUGUUUUAUUUAAUCCACAUGACACAAUACCCUAAUCUGCAUCCCACAGGAAAAGAAGGUGAUGGCAGAGCACAUUGGACAUAUGGGUGUCAUACAACCUACUUGGACAGAGGUGUCACUUUUAAGCAAGCUUUAUCAUUCCACAAAUCUUUGUUGAGCACCUAAUAUGUGCCCCUGGAGACGUGGGGACCCUCUGGAGACAGUGAGAGCUCUGAUCUCAAGGAUUGUCCUUCCAAAGGAUUAUGACAUGUGCGUAAG
ensembl:lncRNA